GCUAGCUGUUCAGAGGUCAGGCGCUGGUCAGAACAUGAGGAAGGAGGAACACGGUGGCCAUAUCUGAAGUGAUCUAGUAAACAGGAGACAUUUCCUCCAGGAAGUCUGUAGUGGGUAAGACCCAGUUACUACCCUUGAGGAAAGGAAGGUGAUGGGAACUAGCAUCUAUUAUGCACUGUGUGCCAGACUUGAGUAAACACUUCCAAGUCCUGUUCCUUGACUCCUAUGAGGUUAGUAACUUUUAUCAUCGCCAUUUUAAAGGAAGGCUCAGAGGCACUCUGCAGUCACACAGCUGGAGGGGUGCAGUGAGACGCGGAGGCUCCAAGUCUCUUCUGGACUAGGCCUGGAUCUGCCACCUCUUCUUUCGGCUGUGGAUGGCCCUGGGAGACACGCCUGGCCUCAGAUGCCCCUUGACCCAACUGGAGGAAGGGUGGGGGGCCCAGCAGAAAAGCCUGCAGCCUCCCUGGGCACCGUUUCAAAGCUGAUGCUGCUCUCCCUGCUCUGGGUCUCAGCUCCUCCCCUCUUCUGCAUUGUUGACCAACAGCCUGGGUCUGACGCGGAAGCAGAAGAAUUCCCAUUCAACUGGGCCCCAGGGAUGGGGGGCCUCUCUGCCAGUAAGUGACACCCUCUGCUACUGAAAGGCCUCAUGUUCCUGCCCUGCCAAGCCUGGGGUGGCCACCACGUGACAGCACCAGGGACACGUGUCUUCUGGGACCGCUUGUGAGCUGGGUGGCUGGCAAGUUUGUUUCUCCAUGUCCCGCAGCAGGGGCAAGGGUGUGGGUGGUCAUAAUGCACCAGGGCUCUGGGCGGGCUGAGCAGAGUGCAGUUCCUGCUGCCAGCCCCGAUAUGGCACGGACAGCUGGAAAAACUGACCAUGUGGCUUGACUAUCUCAGAGGAUUGCUCCAUUUUUCCUCAGCAUAAUUUUUCCAUGAAUAAUCUUUAAAGCUCUUUAAGUGGCUGUUUCUUUAGCAGUUUUAUUGGAACAUAUGAGAACUGACAGUCUCUGUGGGGAACGAGAUAUCAUGUUGAAAAAAAAUCUGGUUUUCAUUACACUUCUUUCAAGAAAGCAACAGGCUGCCCAACAGACCUCUCAUUGAUUGGAAGAGAAAUGAGCCCAGAGCCUCCUAACAACAGCCUUGGAGUGGACAGGAUGAUGAACAGUGAUGCCAAAGACUCAGGAUCUGAAGGCAGACAGGCCUGGUCCACCACCUGUGUCUGCCAUUUGCAGGAUGAGUGACCUUGAGUAGGUCACCUCACACCUCUGAACCUGAAUUCUACAUCUGCAAAACAGGAAUGAUGACCCUGACUGACAGCCUCCCUGUGAGGAGUAAGCCAUACAGCAUCCCUCCCUCCUUCACGUGACAAACUUUUCCUGAGUCCUGACCUCGGGGGCAGGAGCUGGAGAUACUACACUGGAUUAGAAAGAUGAGUUUCCAGUCAAGUGUGGGAGAGAGAAGUAGCCAGGAUGUAGAACCUGACAAGGGAAGAGUUCAGGAACUUGCCCAGUUGAGCAGCCAGUGAACGGGACAGCCCUGAGCACGGUGCACGUUCUGGGGUGGCUCGUGAGUGACAGCAGUACUGGUAUGCUGGUGAGUGCCUCAGCAGGAGCUCCCUCUGUCCCCCUACCAACUCCCCGAUGUCUGGACGGCACCAGAGCCCGCCUGGGAGGCCACGAGCUAACACUCUCAAGAGGAAAACAGGGGGAUCAAACCAAUGACCCAAGGGCCUACAGCUAAGAACUGCUGGAGCCAGGCUCUGAACUGAGCUCUGCCUGACUCCAGAGGUGGUUUCUACCACCAGGCAAUACAACAGGGAGACACGCAGGUGUGUCAGAGAGCAGUCCUCACAGUGCGAGCACAGAAACCAGAGGCCAAGGCUGAAGAUUUUCCUGGACUCGCGGUGCUGCCCAGGAAUCUUCUGAGAAAACCUGUCAGUUGGUAAAGCCACGUGGAGGCGGGGCUAACAAAAUCUGGAAAUGUCUUCACCAGUUCCAAAGUACACACAAACAUUACUUGCCCUCUCUGGGGGUCAACGUUCUUUAUGCUGAGAAGGUUUCUCCAUUUCCUUUCUCACAGCCUAUUUGUUGGUGUGGAACUGCCUGUGAAGUCAUUCUGCAGGGGUGGAAAGUGGGGGCCAGCUCUCUGUGGGCAACAGGGACCAUCCCAGAGACAAAGGGCAGCCUCAGCCCACAGACCACUUCGGACUUGAAUCAAGGCCUCAAAGGGCGAGACCUGGGCCACUGUCAAUGUGAGGGCAGGGCUGAAGCCAGGGAUUUGGAAAAUUGGUGGAAAACACUCCUAUGAGCUGGGGCUUGCUCUGCUGUGGAAAACUGCCAGCAUCAGCACUUCUCCCAAGGCUGUGCCGAGUCAGCAGUCAGCCCACUCUGGAGCUGCCUCUGAGGACCAGGUGCCUACAGGACCCUGUAAGGAGCUUGAAGAGUUGUGGCUGACGGAGGGAUUUCUGUCCUGGGCUCUAGGAAUUCUAGACUGGGCCCUUCCUCAAGGAGCUUUCAGUCUGGCGGAGCAGACAGACAUGGGCAAAUAAGCCCACAACUAACUGUGCCAUCACUGCAGAAGGAAGUGCCACGGAGGAGCAUGAGGGCCAGUUGCAGGAAGGAGCCAGGGCCAGCAUGUGCCUGUAAAAGCCAGAUAGUAAAUAGUUCACGCUCUGCAGGCCACAGGGUCUUUGUCCCAAGCACUCAACUCUGCCACUGCUGCAUGAAAACAGCCACAGGCGAUAUGUCAACCAAAGAGGGGUGGUUGUGCCCAUAUGAAAACAGAGGGUGGAUCUGUCCCACAGUUUGCCACAGCCUGGCUGUUAGACGGCCUGACCUGAUUGGGGGUGGGGGUGAUAGUGGGGAGAAGGCUUCCCCGAGGCAGUGAUAUUUAGCUAAAAGCUGCAGGCUGAGGCAAUGAUGGAGGCAGAAUCACAAUAUGACAAUUAUGAUAAUCACAUCACCAUGAUCAAGUUCCACCUAACACGUGUGUUCUAUGUUGCGCACUGUGCUAAUAACAACACUACCCUGUGAAGGAGGAAGAUUUUAUGCCCACUUUACAGAUAGAGACACUGAGGCUUGGCAGUAUGCUGAGUAGUCUGUUCACACAAUUCAGCUGCAUUUUUUGC
rnacentral:lncRNA from 10 species